UGUAAAAGUGAACCAACAUAGUUAAAGAGACCCAACUAAAACCCUCACCUCUCGUCCUUUUAAUUCAAUACUUCACACAUUCUAACUUGAAACAUAACUAUCAUAUUUUUUUUUCUUUUCGAAUUUUUCUCCUUUUUUUUUUUUUUUUUUUUUUCUAAUUCACACUUUUUUUUUCUUCAGUAAUAGUAGUGGUCGUGCAAUGUCCGCUCCCUUAAGCUUUCGAUCCAACCCAUGUAACGAGCUUUAGGUCAAUGACUCCCAAACAACAAAGUCUAGAGGGCACUAGGUGUAGAACACCCUAAAAACUUAUUACCUCAAGCUGAAAAGGCUAUGAAACCAACUAACCACUCUGCCCUAUGCCAAAACUCUACUGUUUGACGCGAGAAUCACUGCUGAUUAGGCAGGAUUGGCCCGGUUACUAGGCAAAGUCUCGGGUGGAACAAUUAUUACUUUAUAACACAUACUAACUUUAAGAAUAAAAAUUAAAAUACACUUAGACUAAAAGUAAAUGUUUCAAUCUCACUCCCCACAAACCAAGUUGAUUUGAAUGUGCAAAUUUUCAAAUUGUAACUCAUGAAUUAUUGCCUAAGACACGAUAAAUAGAAAAGACUUUACUGUGGGAUUAAUCUUCAUCAUGUCCAUUUGUUCUAACAUUUAAAAUAAUCUAUGGAUAUUAGCUUAAAAUUUGAAAAAAAAAAAUUUAUUGACUCAAAAUAAAAGUCUAAAAAUUCUUAUUUCCCACCCCCAAACUUAAAUCACACAUUCUCCUCAAGGUGUGGAAAAAAAAAAUAAAGCACAAAACUAUGAAGUCCUAAAAACUUAAAAUAACUAACACAGACAAGUAAAAGAAACUAGAAAAAUUAAAACAGAAACAAUAAAAUAAAAUAUAAAAUAACAAAUCAAACAGAAAAUUAAAGAAAAGAAAAGGGAAUGGACACACCUGGGAUGGUUCGAACCCACGACCAGGAAGAGUAACCAGGGAGCGUCGUAAAAAUUUGAAAAAGUAUAAGAACAGGCAGUGAGCUUUGGAGUCAAACCCCUAACCUGGAUCACAGCAAGAAGUGUUGAGCUUUACACAACACACACGGAACCCAUGCUCCUUCCUUCAUUUCCCAUUUAUGUCGUUGAGCUCUUCUCCCCUCUUCUCCAUAACCUCCAGCCCAGAGCCAUGAGAGCUCUCUUCCUUUCUCUUCCUCUCAAACCCCUAACACAAAACUGCUGCUCUAGCCAUUCCAAAAUCUUCCAAUGGUCCUGGAUUUGUCGAACUCAAAAAUAAAUACCCAGUUGUGCCUCCAUAGCUGGAUUUCUGUCAUUUAUUCCCAAUUCUCCAUGUUGCUGCAAAUCGAAGCUCCAAUCCAUCGAAGCAAUGUCCCAGUGCACACCAAAGUUCAACCUAGAAAUGAUGCAGAGGACCAAAAAUUCAUUGAUCUUCACGCCCUUAAAGGUAAAAUUCAUCACUGCAAUUAUUUGAGCCUGAACUUGCCAGAUUUGUAAAUGUACUACUUGUGCAUGCCUAAAAUAUGAAUUAGAUUAUGUUGCAUAAAUCUGUGUAAAGUAGUGUUUUCUGAUUCCAGUGCGUUCAUGCAUCAAUGGCUUUAGUCUACUAUUUGCAAGCUCAUGAAUGUGUUCUGUAUAUUGCAUGUCUUCAUUGAUGAACGCAUGAGCCCAAAAAUCCGUGCAUGAGAUCAAUCUGCGUAUUGGCUUGAUGAAUGUGCUCAUUUCUGUGUUGCUUGGAUCCCAACCCCAAACUUGUAUGUGGUGAUAUUUUAAAUAAAAUGCUAGGGAGUGAUUGAGUGAAAGGGGGUGCCAAGCAAUGCAAGGGGCUUCAUCACCAACCCCAUUGUGAGUAUGUCUGGAACUCUGCCCGUGCAUCUUUCUGCAUUCCUUUAGUUUCUGUAGUGCUGAAUCUCAUUAAUGUUGAUGAAUUUACGAUGAAUGCUCUAAGUGGAUGUAUGUUAAAUGCUGUUGAAUGCAUGAUUUAGUCGAA